GUGCUUGCUUUGCAGCAGCUCAUGUACUAAAAUUGGAAUAAUACAGAGAAGAUUAUCAUGGCCCCGGCAUAAGGAUGACAAACACACUCGUGGAGCAUUCCAGGUUUUA
rnacentral:snRNA from 1 species